rnacentral:misc_RNA from 1 species
GUUGGUGAACCAGCGGAGGGAUCAUUACAGAGUUGAAAGACUCCCAAACCCACUGUAAACUUACCUGUCCAGUUGCUUCGGCAGGCGGCCCCAGGGCGGGGCCCCCUCAGGCCUGCUUAGCCAGGCGCCUGCCGCUGGCCCGCAAAACUCUUCUCUCCAUAUGGUACGCUCUGAGUCCCAAACAAAAUGAAUCAAAACUUUCAACAACGGAUCUCUUGGUUCUG